rnacentral:rRNA from 1 species
AACGAACGCUGGCGGCAGGCCUAACACAUGCAAGUCGAGCGAGGACUUCGGUUCUAGCGGCGGACGGGUGAGUAACGCGUGGGAAUGUGCCCUUCUCUACGGAAUAGCUCUGGGAAACUGGGAGUAAUACCGUAUACGCCCUUUUGGGGAAAGAUUUAUCGGAGAAGGAUGAGCCCGCGUUGGAUUAGGUAGUUGGUGGGGUAAUGGCCUACCAAGCCGACGAUCCAUAGCUGGUUUGAGAGGAUGAUCAGCCACACUGGGACUGAGACACGGCCCAGACUCCUACGGGAGGCAGCAGUGGGGAAUCUUGGACAAUGGGGGCAACCCUGAUCUAGCCAUGCCGCGUGAGUGAUGAAGGCCUUAGGGUUGUAAAGCUCUUUUAGCUGGGAAGAUAAUGACGGUACCAGCAGAAGAAGCCCCGGCUAACUCCGUG